AGGCUGUCAGCAACAGCAAUGGAGUGACUCAGGAUGGUAUGGGCAGUGUUGAAAUCUGUUGGGCUGGCAUCAGUGACUGAGUAAAGGGAGGAGGAUUAAUGGAUCACGCUCUCGUUCUCUGUCUUGAUGUCCCAGAUGAGGUGGAAGAGGAGGAGACUUAGACGGCAACUUCACGAAGAAUCUCUUCAGCUGUCAGAUCAUCAACGUAUACAAAGUAUGUUGUUGAUGCUUUCUGAAAUCUUAAGAAAGGCUAUGUCUUCUGAAGUCUGGCCUUCAGUGAAUAUGGUUUGUAAAAUGUUAUAUUAAGUUCCUCCCUUUCUCUUACAAUGUUUUUAAAAAGAAUAUUCAGUCUACAAAGUCA